rnacentral:rRNA from 1 species
AAUGAACGUUGGCGGCGUGGAUUAGGCAUGCAAGUCGUACGAGAAUCGUAGCAAUACGAGGAAUGUGGCGGAAGGGAGAGGAUUACGUGGGAAUCUACCCUCAGAACUGGGAUAGCGGCGGGAAACUGCCGGUAAUACCAGAUAAUGUCUGUGGACCAAAGGUGCGAUUCCGUCUGGGGAUGAGCCCACGUCCUAUUAGCUAGUUGGCAGGGUAAUGGCCUACCAAGGCAAUGAUGGGUAGCGGGUGUGAGAGCAUGACCCGCCUCACUGGGACUGAGAACUGCCCAGACACCUACGGGUGGCUGCAGUCGAGAAUCUUCGGCAAUGAGCGCAAGCUUGACCGAGCGACGCCGCGUGCGGGAUGAAGGCCUUCGGGUUGUAAACCGCUGUCGUAGGGGAGCAAGAGAUGAGGGUACUCCCUCUGAUUUGAGCGAUCCUAGGAGGAAAGACGGGCUAAGUUCGUGCCAGCCGCCGCCGUAA